rnacentral:rRNA from 1 species
AUGCCUUGCCGACGUUAUUUAUGUUCUGAUGUUCCAGAUGAGCAUGCUCUAAGCUUAGAUCUUGGGCAGACACAACAAUUCUCGUUGCAUCAUCUCAUGAUUGCAACAGGAAAUUUUAGUAGACAAAAAUUUCUUGGUAAGGGCUCUUUAGCUAAGGUUUACAGAGGAGUUCUUCCAGACCAAGACGAUAAAGCGGUUGCCGUCAAACGAUUUGUCAAAAUAAAAAAUCACGGGCGUGAUAUGGCUUUCAAACGAGAAGCUGAAGUUAUAAGGGUGCCUGUCCACAACAAUAUAUUGAGAUUGAUAGGGUAUUGCAUGGAACGAAAGGAGCGCCUGUUGGUUUAUCCUUUCAUGGAGAAUUUGAGUCUUUCUUCUAAGUUAGAAGAAUGA